rnacentral:rRNA from 1 species
UGGGGAAUAUUGCACAAUGGGCGCAAGCCUGAUGCAGCAACGCCGCGUGAGGGACGACGGCCUUCGGGUUGUAAACCUCUUUUAGUAGGGAAGAAGCGAAAGUGACGGUACCUGCAGAAAAACGCACCGGCUAACUACGUGCCAGCAGCCGCGGUAAUACGUAGGGUGCGAGCGUUGUCCGGAAUUAUUGGGCGUAAAGAGCUCGUAGGCGGUCUGUCGCGUCUGCUGUGAAAACCCGAGGCUCAACCUCGGGCCUGCAGCGGGUACGGGCAGACUAGAGUGCGGUAGGGGAGAAUGGAAUUCCUGGUGUAGCGGUGGAAUGCGCAGAUAUCAGGAGGAACACCGAUGGCGAAGGCAGUUCUCUGGGCCGUAAUUGACGCUGAGGAGCGAAAGCGUGGGGAGCGAACAGGAUUAGAUACCCUGGUAGUCCA